UGUUUAUUAUUGAUUCAUUGCUGCAGCUCUAGUGAUUUGUAGAUGAUGGUUUUUACUGACCAUGGCUCAAAAGUGUUGUUGCUCGAUGUGGCGAUGCUGUUUGUGUUCAUCUGAAUUCUCUCUCUCUCCGCAGGAACGUUUAAGCUGGUCAUUGAGUUUUCAGAAGAAUAUCCCAACAAGCCUCCUACGGUUCGCUUCAUCUCCAAAAUGUUUCACCCGAAUGUGUACGCAGAUGGCAGCAUAUGUUUAGACAUUCUUCAGAAUCGCUGGAGUCCCACGUACGACGUUUCCUCCAUUCUGACAUCCAUCCAGGUGCAUGAUGGGUUUGUUCUUGUUACUAGUGUGUUUUAUUACUCGAUAACAAAUUGUAGACCAUUACUGAUUACAUGAAGAAAACUGUAGUUAGUAAUGUAUUCUGAGUACUUUUUAGAUGACUUUUUAUCUAACUUGUAUUAAUCAUACCAUAUUGAUGUUUAAAAGCAAAAAGAGAAAGAAAAUAUAUUCCGUUUUAUUUAUAUCAACAUCAUAAAAUGCAUUAAACAUUACAUUAGGGUUUCCCAAACUGGGCUUAAUGUAAGUUUGUGAGCUGAUAAAAACUGACAAAUCAUAAAAAUGUAAAAUAUAAAUAAUUAAAUCAUAUAUUUAUUUGUUUAACUGCAUGUCAAUGUGACCAUUAACCGACCAAAAGUAACCAAAAAGUCACUGUAAUCUGAUUACAUACAAUGCAGCACUGGCAAUGAUAAUAUUUUAGAUUAAAAUACAUGCAAGUGUAUUUAAAUGAGGUGUAUAUAUGCAUGAUAUUUCUGAAAUUAAUGAAUUUUUGGUAGUUACUGUAUGAUCAGGAAUAAUGUUGGUGAGACAUGCGCUGAUAUACAAUAUAUCAUGCACUCCAGAAUACCAUGAGUAAUUAUUUAUUAUUCAGAUUUUUAAGAAUACUUCUCUUAUCAUCUGGUUAAAAUGUUAGAUUAAUCGGUUAAAUGAGCUCACAGUAACUGACAGUGAAAACUAACACUAUGUAACUUUUUCUGUGUUAAAAAUUAGCUAAAUGCAAAUAAUAAGCGAGUACACUGCGAUUUUUGUCUUAUCGCAAAUCACUACUGUACGUUUAUAAUAAGUGAUUAUUUUUGGACUAUUGUAGCCUGUUCGUGUCGUCACCGCUGCGGAGUAACACACACCUGCGUGAAUCGCCAUA
ensembl:lncRNA